rnacentral:rRNA from 1 species
GGGAUCUUCGGACCUUUCGGUUAAGAGAAAGUCUGUGGGAUAUCAGCUUGUUGGUGGGGUAAUGGCCUACCAAGGCUAUGACGUCUAGGCGGAUUGAGAGAUUGACCGCCAACACUGGGACUGAGACACUGCCCAGACUCCUACGGGAGGCUGCAGUCGAGAAUCUUUCGCAAUGGACGAAAGUCUGACGAAGCGACGCCGCGUGUGUGAUGAAGGCUCUAGGGUUGUAAAGCACUUUCGCCUGGGAAUAAGAGAGAUUGGCUAAUAUCCAAUUGAUUUGAGCGUACCAGGUAAAGAAGCACCGGCUAACUCCGUGCCAGCAGCUGCGGUAAUACGGAGGGUGCUAGCGUUAAUCGGAUUUAUUGGGCGUAAAGGGCGUGUAGGCGGAAAGGAAAGUUAGAUGUCAAAUCUUGAGGCUCAACCUCAAGUCGGCAUCUAAUACUAUCUUUCUAGAGGUUGGAUGGAGAAAAGGGAAUUCCACGUGUAGCGGUGAAAUGCGUAGAUAUGUGGAAGAACACCAGUGGCGAAGGCGCUUUUCUAAUUUUUCCUGACGCUAAGGCGCGAAAGCAAGGGGAGCAAACAGGAUUAGAUACCCUGGUAGUCCUUGCUGUAAACGAUGCAUACUUGAUGUGGAUGGUCUCAACCCCAUCCGUGUCGGAGCUAACGCGUUAAGUAUGCCGCCUGAGGAGUACACUC